GCGGCGGACGGGUGAGUAAUACUUAGGAGUCUGCCUAUUAAUGGGGGACAACAUCUCGAAAGGGAUGCUAAUACCGCAUACGCCCUACGGGGGAAAGCAGGGGAUCACUUGUGACCUUGCGUUAAUAGAUGAGCCUAAGUCGGAUUAGCUAGUUGGUGGGGUAAAGGCCUACCAAGGCGACGAUCUGUAGCGGGUCUGAGAGGAUGAUCCGCCACACUGGGACUGAGACACGGCCCAGACUCCUACGGGAGGCAGCAGUGGGGAAUAUUGGACAAUGGGGGGAACCCUGAUCCAGCCAUGCCGCGUGUGUGAAGAAGGCCUUAUGGUUGUAAAGCACUUUAAGCGAGGAGGAGGCUCUUUUGGUUAAUACCCAAGAUGAGUGGACGUUACUCGCAGAAUAAGCACCGGCUAACUCUGUGCCAGCAGCCGCGGUAAUACAGAGGGUGCGAGCGUUAAUCGGAUUUACUGGGCGUAAAGCGUGCGUAGGCGGCUUAUUAAGUCGGAUGUGAAAUCCCCGAGCUUAACUUGGGAAUUGCAUUCGAUACUGGUGAGCUAGAGUAUGGGAGAGGAUGGUAGAAUUCCAGGUGUAGCGGUGAAAUGCGUAGAGAUCUGGAGGAACACCGGUGGCGAAGGCGGGUCUCUGGGCCGAUA
rnacentral:rRNA from 1 species